GAGCAGACACUGAGGCCAGACUGCUUGGGGUCUGGGUCAGCACUUGCCCUCAAGGACUGUCACAGCGAGUCGGAUGAUGUGUCUGCCAGCUGCUCACAAGUAGGGGCACAUCUGGUGUGAGAACUUGAGCAGUAGGAACCUACAGGACGCCAGGCCGGGAAGCGGGGGGCAGAGUGCCCACUAGUGGGCGGACCACGGUGAAGCAAGACAGAGGAGCCUGGUGGGCUACAGUCCACAGGGUCGCGAAGAGUCAGACACGACUGAGCGACUUCACACACAGUGGCUCAGCAGUAAAGAAUCCAUCUGCAAUGCAGGAGACACAGGUUCAAUUCCUGGAUCAGGAAGAUUCCCUGGAGAAGGAAAUGGCA
ensembl:lncRNA